AACAGGAUUAGAUACCCUGGUAGUCCACGCCGUAAACGACGUCGACUUGGAGGUUGUUCCCUUGAGGAGUGGCUUCCGGAGCUAACGCGUUAAGUCGACCGCCUGGGGAGUACGGCCGCAAGGUUAAAACUCAAAUGAAUUGACGGGGGCCCGCACAAGCGGUGGAGCAUGUGGUUUAAUUCGAUGCAACGCGAAGAACCUUACCUACUCUUGACAUCCGGCGAACUUUCCAGAGAUGGAUUGGUGCCUUCGGGAACGCUGAGACAGGUGCUGCAUGGCUGUCGUCAGCUCGUGUUGUGAAAUGUUGGGUUAAGUCCCGCAACGAGCGCAACCCUUAUCCUUUGUUGCCAGCGAUUCGGUCGGGAACUCAAAGGAGACUGCCGGUGAUAAACCGGAGGAAGGUGGGGAUGACGUCAAGUCAUCAUGGCCCUUACGAGUAGGGCUACACACGUGCUACAAUGGCGCAUACAAAGAGAAGCGACCUCGCGAGAGCAAGCGGACCUCACAAAGUGCGUCGUAGUCCGGAUCGGAGUCUGCAACUCGACUCCGUGAAGUCGGAAUCGCUAGUAAUCGUGGAUCAGAAUGCCACGGUGAAUACGUUCCCGGGCCUUGUACACACCGCCCGUCACACCAUGGGAGUGGGUUGCAAAAGAAGUAGGUAGCUUAACCUUCGGGAGGGCGCUUACCACUUUGUGAUUCAUGACUGGGGUGAAGUCGUAACAAGGUAACC
rnacentral:rRNA from 1 species